UGUGGUGUGCGGGUGGCUCACGGUCUAUAUGACUGAGGAAGCUCUCCCCACGCAGAGUGUGUACGGCCUAAGGCCGGAUUCGGAGCAGAAACGAUACCGCUGUGGCAUAAAAAGCUGUGACAUUACGAGCUUGCCAGUGCGGAUGAAACGUGCCGAUGCGCACACUGUGAGCGUGCAAGGCUUAAAAGCCGCUUAGUCGAAUGCCACUUAAAACAGAAGGGAGGCUACGGCACACCACA
rnacentral:RNase_P_RNA from 1 species